ACGUGACCGAGCGAUGCCGCGUGCGGGAUGAAGGCCUUCGGGUUGUAAACCGCUGUCGUAGAGGAGGAAAGCUCCGUGAAGAGCGGAGCCUGACCUAUUCUAGGAGGAAGUCCGGGCUAAGUUCGUGCCAGCAGCCGCGGUAAGACGAACCGGACAAACGUUAUUCGGAAUUACUGGGCUUAAAGGGUUCGUAGGCGGCGUUGUAAGUGAGAUGUGAAAUCCCUCGGCUCAACCGAGGAACUGCGUUUCAAACUACAAUGCUUGAGGGAGACAGGGGUGAGCGGAACUGAUGGUGGAGCGGUGAAAUGCGUGGAUAUCAUCAGGAACACCGGUGGCGAAAGCGGCUCACUGGGUCUCUUCUGACGCUGAGGAACGAAAGCUAGGGUAGCGAACGGGAUUAGAUACCCCGGUAGUCCUAGCCGUAAACGAUGAGCACUUGUCUGGGGAUCCUCCCAUAGGUUCCCGGACGUAGCGAAAGUGUUAAGUGCUCCGCCUGGGGAGUAUGGUCGCAAGGCUG
rnacentral:rRNA from 1 species